CUCUCUCUCUUCCCCCUACAGGUUGAAGUCACACCCAAGUUAAUUCUUCAAUUAGCGUGAGCCAGAUAUUCCGGUAAGAUCGGAGGGCCCGCCAAUCGAUGUCCAAUUAGCGAGGCUUCGUGGCCCGGGGGGUCUAAGCCUGUCACAGCCUCGGCCAAUCGCAGCCUGCGUUAGAGGUGG
rnacentral:lncRNA from 1 species